rnacentral:lncRNA from 1 species
AAAAAUGCAGACCACUGGGGCACUGUUCAUUUCUCCGGCUCAGAUCCACUGUUGCACCAGGUGUCUAACCAGGCCUGUGUCUGCCUCCUUCUUGAAUAGCCCAGAGAGUUCAUCUAAACAGCCUUCCCACAGCAGCUCCCCACUCCAGGUGGCCAGACAGGAGUUCCAGACCAGUGUUGUCUCCUGGGACAUUGACACAGCAACCAAUUUAUUGGUGCUGAGGCAGCCACAGUUGGUGUGGCUGGUUCAGGGACUGGCAUUGGAAUUGUGUUUGGCAGCUUGAUCAUUGGCUAUGCCAGGAACCCGUCUCUCAGGCACUCGUCUCUCAGGCACUCAUCUCUCAGGCAGUAGCUCUUCUCCUAUGCCAUUCUGGGCGUUGGCCUGUCUGAGGCCAUGGGGGGUUCUUCUGUUUGAUGGUCACCUUCCUCAUCCUCUUCGCCA